GAAACACGGACCAAGGAGUCUAGCAUGUGCGCGAGUCAUUGGGACUCUGNCAAAACCUAAAGGCGCAAUGAAAGUAAAGGUCCGCCUCGCGCGGACCGAGGGAGGAUGGGCCCGCCCCGGUGCGGACCCCGCACUCCCGGGGCGUCUCGUUCUCAUCGCGAGAAGAGGCGCACCCAGAGCGUACACGCUGGGACCCGAAAGAUGGUGAACUAUGCCUGGUCAGGACGAAGUCAGGGGAAACCCUGAUGGAGGUCCGUAGCGAUUCUGACGUGCAAAUCGAUCGUCGGAACUGGGUAUAGGGGCGAAAGACUAAUCGAACCUUCUAGUAGCUGG
rnacentral:rRNA from 1 species